CCUACGGGAGGCAGCAGUAGGGAAUCUUCCACAAUGGGCGAAAGCCUGAUGGAGCAACGCCGCGUGGGUGAAGAAGGUCUUCGGAUCGUAAAACCCUGUUGUUAGAGAAGAAAGUGCGUGAGAGUAACUGUUCACGUUUCGACGUUCUCUAACCAGAAAGCCACGGCUAACUACGUGCCAUCAUCCGCGGUAAUACGUAGGUGACAAGCGUUAUCCGGAUUUAUUGGGCGUAAAGGGAACGCAGGCGGUCUUUUAAGUCUGAUGUGAAAGCCUUCGGCUUAACCGGAGUAGUGCAUUGGAAACUGGGAGACUGGAGUGCAGAAGAGGAGAGUGGAAUUCCAGGUGUAGCGGUGAAAUGCGUAGAUAUAUGGAAGAACACCAGAGGCGAAAGCGGCUCUCUGGUCUGUAACUGACGCUGAGGUUCGAAAGCGUGGGUAGCAAACAGGAUUAGAUACCCUGGUAGUC
rnacentral:rRNA from 1 species